rnacentral:rRNA from 1 species
GACGAACGCUGGCGGCGCGCCUAACACAUGCAAGUCGAACGGAGCUGAGAGGAGCUUGCUUUUCUUAGCUUAGUGGCGAACGGGUGAGUAACGCGUGAGUAACCUGCCCUGGAGUGGGGGACAACAGUUGGAAACGACUGCUAAUACCGCAUAAGCCCACGGCCCGGCAUCGGGCUGAGGGAAAAGGAUUUAUUCGCUUCAGGAUGGACUCGCGUCCAAUUAGCUAGUUGGUGAGGUAACGGCCCACCAACGCGACGAUUGGUAGCCGGACUGAGAGGUUGAACGGCCACAUUGGGACUGAGACACGGCCCAGACUCCUACGGGAGGCAGCAGUGGGGGAUAUUGCACAAUGGGGGAAACCCUGAUGCAGCGACGCCGCGUGGAGGAAGAAGGUUUUCGGAUUGUAAACUCCUGUCGUUAGGGACGAUAAUGACGGUACCUAACAAGAAAGCACCGGCUAACUACGUGCCAGCCGCCGCCGUAA